CCUACGGGAGGCAGCAGUGGGGGAUAUUGCACAAUGGGGGGAACCCUGAUGCAGCGACGCCGCGUGGGUGAAGGAGCGUUUCGGCGCGUAAAGCCCUCUCGGCAGGGAAGAAGGAGGACGGUACCUGACUAAGAAGCCCCGGCUAACUACGUGCCAGCAGCCGCGGUAAUACGUAGGGGGCAAGCGUUAUCCGGAAUUACUGGGUGUAAAGGGAGCGUAGACGGUUAAGUAAGUCUGGAGUGAAAGGCCGGGGCCCAACCCCGGGGCUGCUCUGGAAACUAUUGAACUUGAGUGCAGGAGAGGUA
rnacentral:rRNA from 1 species